rnacentral:rRNA from 1 species
UACGAAGGGGGCUAGCGUUGUUCGGAAUCACUGGGCGUAAAGGGCGCGUAGGCGGCCUUCUAAGUCGAACGUGAAAUCCCCGGGCUCAACCCGGGAACUGCGUCCGAUACUGGAAGGCUUGAAUCCGGGAGAGGGAUGCGGAAUUCCAGGUGUAGCGGUGAAAUGCGUAGAUAUCUGGAGGAACACCGGUGGCGAAGGCGGCAUCCUGGCCUGUAACUGACGCUGAGACGCGAAAGCGUGGGGAGCGAACCGG